AAAUUGAAGAGUUUGAUCAUGGCUCAGAUUGAACGCUGGCGGCAGGCCUAACACAUGCAAGUCGAACGGUAACAGGAAACAGCUUGCUGUUUCGCUGACGAGUGGCGGACGGGUGAGUAAUGUCUGGGAAACUGCCUGAUGGAGGGGGAUAACUACUGGAAACGGUAGCUAAUACCGCAUAAUGUCGCAAGACUAAAGAGGGGGACCUUCGGGCCUCUUGCCAUCGGAUGUGCCCAGAUGGGAUUAGCUAGUAGGUGGGGUAACGGCUCACCUAGGCGACGAUCCCUAGCUGGUCUGAGAGGAUGACCAGCCACACUGGAACUGAGACACGGUCCAGACUCCUACGGGAGGCAGCAGUGGGGAAUAUUGCACAAUGGGCGCAAGCCUGAUGCAGCCAUGCCGCGUGUAUGAAGAAGGCCUUCGGGUUGUAAAGUACUUUCAGCGGGGAGGAAGGGAGUAAAGUUAAUACCUUUACUCAUUGACGUUACCCGCAGAAGAAGCACCGGCUAACUCCGUG
rnacentral:rRNA from 1 species